AUUGAACGCUGGCGGCAGGCCUAACACAUGCAAGUCGAGCGGAGCGGCGGACGGGUGAGUAAUACCUAGGAAUCGGCCUGGUCGUGGGGGAUAACUUUCGGAAACGGACGCUAAAACCGCAUACUCUCAGCCGAGGCUAGGCCGGAUUAGCUAGUUGGUGAGGUAAUGGCUCCCCAAGGCUACGAUCCGUAACUGUGCUGAGAGGAUGAUCAGUCACACUGGAACUGAGACACGGUCCAGACUCCUACGGGAGGCAGCAGUGGGGAAUAUUGGACAAUGGGCGAAAGCCUGAUCCAGCCAUGCCGCGUGUGUGAAGAAGGUCUUCGGAUUGUAAAGCACUUUAAGUUGGGAGGCGUUACCGACAGAAUAAGCACCGGCUAACUCUGUGCCAGCAGCCGCGGUAAUUC
rnacentral:rRNA from 1 species